GCUCUCGUGGUGUAAUUGAUAGUACUUCCGGCUGACACUCGUAAGAUCCGGAGGUCGAAUUCCGGCGAGUGCA
rnacentral:tRNA from 1 species